rnacentral:rRNA from 1 species
UUACCUACGGGGCGCAGCAGUGGGGAAUAUUGCACAAUGGGGGAAACCCCGAUGCAGCGACGCCGCGUGAGUGAAGAAGUAUUUCGGUAUGUAAAGCUCUAUCAGCAGGGAAGAAGAAAGACGGUACCUGACUAAGAAGCCCCGGCUAACUACGUGCCAGCAGCCGCGGUAAUACGUAGGGGGCAAGCGUUAUCCGGAUUUAUUGGGUGUAAAGGGUGCGUAGACGGGAAUGCAAGUUGGUUGUGAAAUCCCUCGGCUUAACUGAGGAACUGCAACCAAAACUACAUUUCUUGAGUGCUGGAGAG